rnacentral:lncRNA from 1 species
UUAAGUAGAAAUCAAACAGGUCUUUUAAAAGAACUGUAACAGCAUAGUUAUAAUCAUACAAAAUUCCCAUAAUCUUGUUGUGAAAGAGUUUAAUUGAUCUUUCUCACACAAAGGCAAGAACACAUUCUAUAACAUCCCUGAAUUCACUCAUCAGCUGACUAAUUUGUAAAACAGACUGAAUGUUUACUACAUGAUAAAAAUGAUAAACAUUUAAAUUUGUUUAAAAAAGCAAUCACAAUUAUGUGGUAAAAACACAACCACAGUAUAAUUGUUAGAGUGGGGAGACGGCCAGAUACGAGCAGGCAAGGGAGCCUCUGGGCAAAGAAGUCCUGGAGAUGUCGCCCACUGACAGCAAAAAGGACAACGGCUAUAUUGGUUAUACCUGGCCUUGUGGUUGGGCUCCUGCGACCCUGAAGCAUGUGCACUCCUCCAAUAACUCACCCUAGAGUGGUCUUUUGCUCAUUAUAAUAGUAAAAAACACAUCCCUAGGUGGAGAUUUUAAAUGCUAACGAGACAAGCAACGUGUGUACUAGCAUGUACAACUACAGAGCAUGUAUGCCCAAGGGGAUCAUCUAAAACAUGAUUGCAAGUGACACCUCCUCAUGCCCUUUCAUGAAUAAUCAUGUAUUCUUCAUAGAGUUCCCCAGCACUGGCUGCUGCUAGCUCACUCUCUCCAGAAGCUUGCUCUGCUUUAUCUUUCAGAGUAUACUACUGUCUCUUUAAAUAAAUUCUGCUGCUUAACCCUUGCUGCGUGUCUCUUGGCUGAAUUCUUCCUUCAACAAGAAUCAAGGACGCUGUACCCCACCCGGUAACAUAAACAACAAAUACUCUGUUGUUAACUAAAAAUCAAUGGAACACAUGUAUUUCAUAACUCACAAAAUAUACAAGUAAAUUGUAUUUAGAUAUUGAUAUAUACCAAAAAAUAGAUCACUAAUUUGGCCAACUUGUUGGUAACUAAAGAAAUUUGCAAUGAUUUCACAAAUCAUUUCACUGUUAGAUAAACCAGUGGCUUCUAAUAUUGGGCUUUCCAAAACUAAAAAACCAGCAACAGACUCUGCAUUAAAACCACCAUCUGUUUUCACAUUACUCAUGAUCUUUUCCUGUGACAGAAAAAAAAUCAGUAAAGUUAGUCUUAGAAAUUACAUAUUCUACCUCUGAUUUUUAAAAAUUAGAAAAUAAGGUUUUGAGAGUUGUGACACAUUUUUCUAAUGUUUACAUAGAAGAACCUAACUGCAUAAAUGGGUAUGUUUGCAUUAUAGCUACUGAGAGCUACUUCAAUGCAAACAGUAUCUUAAAGAAUGUUUAAAAGCAUAAUUUAACUCUAAAAUCUUAGAACUGAAAAUAAUUUUGAAAUCACUUAGAUUUUUAAGGGAGUUUAAAAUCCUAUUUUAAUUAUUUUUUCUUUUUAAAGUGACAUAUAUAACAGACCCUUGAGCAACAUAGGUUUGAUCUACGCAGGUGCACUUAUACACAAGUAUUUUUCAAUAAAUAUUUUGGAAAGAAUAUGAAACUUGCAAACUAUGUAGCCUAGAAAUAUUGAAAAAAUUAAGAAAGAUGAAUAUGUCAUGAUUGCAUAAAAACAUGUAGAUACUAGUCUUUUUAUGUAUUAAUCAACUGUUUAUGUUAUCUGUAAGGCUUUCAGUGAAUAGUAGGCCAUUAGUUGGUAAGUACUAGAGGAGUCAAAAGUUACAGGUAUAUUUUUAACUGUACAGGGGUCAGUGCCCCAGUUCUGGUGUUAUUCAAGGGUAUACUGUAUAUCCAUUUAUACAGUUUUAUAGAAAUGUAUAAAUGUGAUGAUUAUCAUAUAUUUCUGGGGGGGGGGGCUUGGCUCUUAUUACUAAUCCAAGGUUACAGUCUAGAGCAUAUCCUUCCAUAUUUUUCAAAUAUACAUAUACACAUAUGAGUUUUGGAGUCACUGUUUUAUAAAAAUAGGAUUGUAUUUUGCACAAUUUUUUGCAUCUUGCUUUUUUUCUCUCAGCAUUACCCCACAGUAUUCUGGUACCUAGCACUAAAGCAUUUUUUAAGAUGACUACACAGUAUUCCUUGAUGUGGGUGCAUCAUGAUAUAUUCUGUAUUCCACUCUUUGCCCAAAUAAUGGGCAUUGAUCUUUGUUUAUACUGUUUUGCCACUAAGAACAAUACUGCAAUAAACAUGCUUGUACCUGUAUCUUUACAUACUACCUAGUAUGCUAUUUCUAUGAUACAGGUGAACAGAAGUGGGGAUGCUAGGUCAAAGGGUACAUGUAUCUAACAUUUAUUUUCUAAAUCUAUCCAUUCAUUCAACAAAUAUUUAUAACACAGCUCAGACAACGGCAAUACAAUGUUAGGUUUAAGGAUAAAAGAUAUCUCAACAAAAGUGUUAACUAACUUCAUUAUGUUUUAGUUUUGAAAAUUAAGUAUUUUUCUACUCAACCAAGAUCUGGCCCAUUUUUAAAAAAUAGAUCUUAUUACAUUAAACUGCAUUCUGUAAAAUUAUUUAGAAUGCUCACAUGUAAACUGAUAGGCUGGCAAUAAAAUAGUUUAAAUUAGAAGUAUAUUUUAAUUGCUAAAAAAUGCUAAAAUGUCAUAAAUGGCCACAGUUUCAUACUAUGAAUUCUUUAAUUUUACAGUAACUUUAUAUGAGAAUAUAAUACUAUGUUCCAGAAAGAAUGACAAUAAAUUUUCAACUCUUCUUUUUCCUUCCUGACAAGAAAAUCAGUUUCCCUUAACAGUCUUAGUGAAAAUUAACACAACUCAAAUAUUUCUGAGUUAGUUUUCACCUGAGAAAUGUUGAGAUAGAUUUUGGCUUUUUAACUUCCUUCAUUUCAUACCUCUGAAAAUUGGGAAAUAAAUACUUAUUUUAUUUCACUUUUUGAUUCCUACAGCUUUUCAUAAUUUUUUAAAAAAUUGUGAUGGUUUACUGAACGCAAAGUGAAAACUUUUAAUAUACUCAUAGAUAAUAAAUUAUGGCUAUUCAAGAAAAGUCUAACAUAUAUAUGAAAAUGUAUAAUAAAAUAAUGAGAUCAGAACAUUUCCUUUACCAUGCAUAACAUAUCCAGAGAGUGGUGAUUUGAUGUUAUUUUGCUUUUUAAAUGUAGAAUAACAAAAAAUAAAUGCAAAUUGACUAAAACAAACAAACAAACAUACAACACAACCCAGAUCCUGAUAGGAUAUUUCUCUUCUCUAUUUCUUUUUUUAAAGCUUUUUUUUUUUUUUUUUUUUUUUUUGAGAUGGGAGUCCGACUCUCUUGCCCAGGCUGGAGUGCAGUGGCACGAUCUUGGCUCACUGCAACCUUCACCUUCUGGGUUCAAGCAAUUCUCCUGCCUCAGCCUCCCAUCUCUUCUCUAUUUCUGCAGUGCAGAAAACUAGGUUUAGUUUUUUUUGAGGCAGAGUUUCACUUUUGUUGCCUAGGCUGGAGUGCAAUGGCACGAUCUCGGCUCACUGCAAUCUCCACUGCCCAGGUUUAAGCAAUUCCCCUGCCUCAGCCUCCGAGUAGCUGGGAUUACAGACAUGCGCCACCACAUCCGGCUAAUUUUGUAUUUUUAGUAGAGACGUGGUUUCAUUAUGUUGGUCAGGCUAGUCUCCAACUUCUGACCUCAGGUGAUCUGCCCACCUUGGCCUCCCAAAGUGCUGGGAUUACAGGCGUGAGUCACCGCACCCGGCCUGGUUUAGUUUUAAAAUCACAUUUCAUUAUCACUAGGCCUAGCCAAAGAUAAAAUAACUGAGCAAAUUUAAGGCGAUGUCAUUAAACCAACAAAUUGUAGUAAUAAUCAUGGUUUUGAAAAAGUGCUCUUCAUAGAAACUUUAAAAAACAUAUGAAAAAAGCCAGUGAGUUUUGCAUUUACCAUUUCCAGAUUUAAGUAAAAACUUCAAUAUUACAAAUUAAUUAGGAAAUUAACCAAAAUUUAUCUACAAACCAAAUUGAUUUUAAAGGUAAGUUCUUCAGAAUGGUGGAAACAUACCACAUUAUUAAAUAUACAUUUAUGAAAUCUGAUGCUAAUUUAAAGCAAAAUUUCAUACUUUUUAAUUAAAAGGGAUCAUUUACUUAAGCUAUUUGUAAACGUACCUAGAUGGUUGUCUUUCUGUGUUCGUAGCUGUUUUCUUCUGAGAAGACGCUCAUAUAGGAGCUGCAUGUUGGCCUUGGCUAGUCAUAAGGAUUGCACACAGCACUAGUUACUAUACUCCUUUCACAACAAAACUUACUAGAAUUUUCCAACUUGUUAAUAAUAGACUUAGUGUUGAUCUGAUAGUGCAGUUAGUUAAUUAGCUUAUCAAAAUUACAAAUGAUGUACAUUCAAGUAUAUAUUUCUUUGGUUUUUUAAUUUAAAUGUAUGUGCCACUCAACAUUUCAUAAUCCAAUAUGUCUUAAUUAAUUAGACUCAGAAUUUUAGGUUGGCAGGGAUCUCAGAGUUAACUCCCUGCUGUUACAAGUGUAGAUAUUGGGGUUCAUAUAGGCUAUGUGACUUGCCCAAACCUAAUUCCAGAACUCCUGACUCUCAUGUUCAGUAAGAGCUCCCUGCACCAAACCAAUAUUUAAUUAUAUGUCAUCAGAAAAUGUACAUCAUUCAUCUGGGAGAAAAGAGAAAGGCAAAAAAGCCGAAAGGAACUCAAGGCGUUAUUUUAAAAGAGGGAACAUAUUUUAGAAAAGUUUUCAAAGCAUAGUCAAGUUUAAGAAGUUUAAAUAUAUGCUUAUUUGAAAACUCAAUGAAAGUGGUAAGUAAUAGAAGGAAAUAUUCUUUAAUCAAGAACUACUCUGUAUCCACUUAUUAAAACUGGUGAAUAUAGUGGUGUUUGGUCAAUAGUACAUUAUAGAAAUAUAUUAGUGUUCACAAUUUUAUUUUGCUAGAAUAAAAAUAAAAGACAUUGAUAGUUUAGAAUAUGUAACAAAUACUUUUAUUUUUAAGUUAAUAGUAUUUUUAGAUGUUUUCUUACAGGAUGCAUUCAAGAAUAAACUAAAAUUCACAAUAAAGAGAAAGGAAAAUAAAAACCGUAAAGUUUAAGAACACCACAAUAUAUUACCAAUAUUUACUGAAGAUGAAUCUUGAUUUUAAAAAUCCCUAGGAAACUGUUAAGCUUUAUGUUGAUGCCUAUACUUUUUCAAGUAACAAUGAAAACUGUAUUGUGCUAUUUCAUUCAUUCAUUCGAGAAAUAUAUUUUAAGUAAGUCUAUGUGUAAGGUACUAGUAAUUUUAUUUCUAUCAUAUACUUAUUUAAAACUGAAGUCUGGGUUUGCUUUAGAAUUUUAUUUUCUGAUAAAAUAUUUUAAGCAAAUAAUUUGGAAUAAAGUUGACAUUCAUUCUGUAAUUAACUUCUGAAAUUAAAUAUAAGGGCACUUUUAUUACGAUACUUUCUAUAUUACAUCUAUAAGCCCAAAGUAAUAUACAUGACAUAAAAGCCAUCCUCACCAGAGAAAAAGUUGAAAAUCUUAUGAAUACAUGAUCAUGCUGAAGCUAGACUAAUUAAUAAUAAUUGCUAACACUGUCUAACCCCAACACCCAGACUGUGGACUGGUACUUGUCUGUGGCCUGUUAGGAACUGGACUGCACAGCAGGAGGUGAGCAGCAGGCGAGCAAGCACUGCUUCCUGAGCUCUGCCUCCUGUGGGAUCAGCAGCGGCAUUAGAUUCUCAUAGGAGCGUGAACACUAUUGCGAACUGUGCGUGUGAGGGAUCUAGGUUGCAUGCUCCUUAUGAGAAUCUAACUAAUGCCUCAUGAUCUGAGGUGGAAUAGUUUCAUCCCAAAACAAUCACUUCCCCCAAUCCGUGGAAAAAUUGUCUUCCAAGAAACUGGUCCCUGGUGCCAAAAAAGUUGGGGACUGCUGGUCUAAGCUAUUUGAAAUAAAUAUUUGCCUUUAAAAGGAGAAAUGUUUUUAUUUAAUUACUAAUUAUAAAUUUUACCAAUAAACAUACUACCUUUUAGAGAGGAUUUUUUUCUAAGUUAAAAUGUGGUUCAUAUGUUUUUCUUUGUAAAUAUUACAUGUUAAAUCUACUUUAAUAUUACAUGCAGAUGGAUAUCUUCCUUAUACAGGUAAUUUAUAAGCCCAUCUCAUAUAUUGAAGCCCCAUUUUGCUGGGUGAAUUUCUCCUUCCCAUCCCAAUGCUGAGCUGAUUUCUUAAUACUGUUGCUGUGAGAGGAGAGGGAACAGGAGAAGUCAAAGUUCUUUAAAGGCAGGGACCUAUUCUUUCCUCAGCACCUAGCACAGUAACUGACACAGGAGGUGCUCAUUAAAAGCCCAAGGGAAGUACACUGUUAAGAAGUAUUGUUCCUAGAGAUCCUUUACACCCUUUUUCUUUUGGAUAAUCUCACCUUUGCUUCCUGACACAUGUACCACAUCUGAUUCCCUUCAAUCUUCUUACCAUGUGAAUGGAAACCACUUUGUGUUUGUAGGCUCAAAGUAAGUAAGUGACAGAAAUGGUUCCAAAUGUGCACUCUUGAACAUAAGAUAAUGCCUCCUUGAAACUACUGUAGUAUUCCACAUCAAAGCUAUUAACACAUGUUUUUGGGUUUUUUUGUAGAAAUGACAUUACACAUGGAUUUUAAGCUUUACAUCACUACUUUUCAUCACACUGUUUUUCAGGCACAUGAUACUGUCCUUCAUUAAUAUGUUAGUAUAAUAGUUUUGUGGUCUGGUCAUUAAAACUAACUAAAAUUUGUUUUUGAUUUCCAAACCACCAAUAAAGAUAUUUGAAACAUAACUUUCCAUUAAUUGAGGAUAAGUGAUAGCCUAAAUUAGCUCUAUUCUGUAAAUGAUUCAUUUUCAAAAGAAGAUUUUUAAAAAUUUACAUUUGAGGUAGUGGCCUUCUAUAGAAUUUUCCUAAGGGAAACAGGAAUUCUAAGAACAUAAAGUAGCAAGGAAAAUAGAGACUGUUUCAGAGAAUAAUGAUCAGAAGAUUGUCUUUUCCACACUACCAUUUUUGUUUUGAGAAUGAAUACAUGGUCAAAAAAGAAUAAACACAUUUUCCUAUUGCUUGUGUAUCUAUGAAACCAUUAGGAUUACUGAAUCAAGAAUUCUAAACAGUCAAUUUAGUGAUAUCUAUGUCUAGUCAAGAAGUGUGAGUUGAACUGACUGAAUAGUGGACUUAAUUAAUUAAUUAAAUGCACUUGAGUAGUUGCUGAUAGUGGCACAAUAGCCAGCAUUUUCUCACAGCUGAAUUUAAGUGGGGUAGAAAUUCUUACACUUUCUUGCAAUUCCUCUGUAAUCCGACACAAGUUUUUAAGUAGUCUGAUUAGUCUCAAACCCAAGAACUAUGUUCUGGAACAGUGACUACUUUAGGGAGUGGACUAAUAUUGUUAAAAGACUGAAAUCCUUGAGGAACAAAGGAAUAAAGUAAGAAUACAGAUUCAAUAAAUUUUAAAAGGCAAUUUAUGAUUUAUUAAAAAACUUAUAAAACAAUAUAUUCUAAAGAAAUUAAAAUAUAUUUUUAUAAGCUAUUAGCCAAUAUUUGAAAAUAAAAGCUAAUAAAACUGACAUAAAAAGUCUGAAUAAGAACUUAUUUUGCCAAUCCCAAUAAUUUAUCUUCUGUGAAAUAAUGUAUGUAAAAGCAUUUUGCAAGCUACAAAUGGCAUACAAAAUCAAGGCAAUAUGAUUUUUUAUUAUGCACUACAAAUAUAUACAGGUAUUACUUUUGAAUGAAACCUGAAGUUUGAUUUUUUAAAACAAUUUCAAUGAUUUUUAAAAUGUUAAAAUACUAAGUAAUGUUAUUAUUCCCUAAAACAAUAUAAAAGGAAUUUGAGAUCUGAGAUAACUAUUAUAAAAUCAAAUGUAAACAAAAAUGCCCUAAGUACCUACAAUCUGAUUAGACUGUAAAAUAUUUGGAAGUAUGGCUUUAAUUUACCUUCCUAUGAUUCUGCAGAUAAUUACAUUUGCUUUCUAACAUGUUUUUGGGUUAUAUUUUAAGAGGAACAGAUUACUGACAUGUUUUUUUUAAAAGACUCAUUUCACAUUUAGCACCAAGAAGUUAUUUUUUAGUAUUCUGAAAAACACUUUUAAAUUGCAAAAAGUGAUUAUCAAGGUAGAAAAAGAUGGAAUUGAUAGAGAAGUGAAGCACACAAACACUGUAGUUUUAGUAUAGAAAAACUAUGGCAAAGCUGAUAGCUAGCAAUAUAAGACUGAAGAGAAUGAUUUGAACUGUAGAAUAAGUCUCGCUACUUUUAACAUACCCAGUUCUAGUUUCUGACAAGAAGGAAUCUCUUCUGUUACUGUAAUGAAGUAGCUG